rnacentral:rRNA from 1 species
GGGUUGUAAACCUUUUUUACCAACCAACGCAGGCCCGGAGUUCUUUUCGGGUUGACGGUAGGUGGGGAAUAAGGACCGGGCUAACUACGUGCCAGCAGCCGCGGUAAUACGUAGGGUCCGAGCGUUGUCCGGAAUUAUUGGGCGUAAAGAGCUCGUAGGCGGCGUGUCGCGUCUGCUGUGAAAGACCGGGGCUUAACUCCGGUUCUGCAGUGGAUACGGGCAUGCUAGAGGUAGGUAGGGGAGACUGGAAUUCCUGGUGUAGCGGUGAAAUGCGCAGAUAUCAGGAGGAACACCGGUGGCGAAGGCGGGUCUCUGGGCCUUACCUGACGCUGAGGAGCGAAAGCAUGGGGAGCGAACAGGAUUAGAUACCCUGGUAGUCCAUGCCGUAAACGUUGGGCGCUAGGUGUGGGGACUUUCCACGGUUUCCGCGCCGUAGCUAACGCAUUAAGCGCCCCGCCUGGGGAGUACGGCCGCAAGGCUAAAACUCAAAGGAAUUGACGGGGGCCCGCACAAGCGGCGGAGCAUGUUGCUUAAUUCGACGCAACGCGAAGAACCUUACCAAGGUUUGACAUCACCCGUGGACUCGCAGAGAUGUGAGGUCAUUUAGUUGGCGGGUGACAGGUGGUGCAUGGCUGUCGUCAGCUCGUGUCGUGAGAUGUUGGGUUAAGUCCCGCAACGAGCGCAACCCUUGUUCCAUGUUGCCAGCACGUAAUGGUGGGGACUCAUGGGAGACUGCCGGGGUCAACUCGGAGGAAGGUGGGGAUGACGUCAAGUCAUCAUGCCCCUUAUGUCUUGGGCUGCAAACAUGCUACAAUGGCCGGUACAAUGGGCGUGCGAUACCGUAAGGUGGAGCGAAUCCCUAAAAGCCGGUCUCAGUUCGGAUUGGGGUCUGCAACUCGACCCCAUGAAGGUGGAGUCGCUAGUAAUCGCGGAUCAGCAACGCCGCGGUGAAUACGUUCCCGGGCCUUGUACACACCGCCCGUCACGUCAUGAAAGUCGGCAACACCCGAAACUUGCGGC